rnacentral:rRNA from 1 species
CCUACGGGUGGCAGCAGUGAGGAAUAUUGGUCAAUGGGCGGGAGCCUGAACCAGCCAAGUCGCGUGAGGGAAGACGGUCCUAUGGAUUGUAAACCUCUUUAGGCGGGGAGCAAUGCCGGGCACGCGUGCCCGGAGGGAGAGUACCCGCAGAAUAAGCAUCGGCUAACUCCGUGCCAGCAGCCGCGGUAAUACGGAGGAUGGGAGCGUUAUCCGGAUUUAUUGGGUUUAAAGGGUGCGUAGGCGGAACAUUAAGUCAGCGGUAAAAUCGAGGGGCUCAACCCCUUUAAGCCGUUGAAACUGGUGAUCUUGAGUGGGCGAGAAGUAUGCGGAAUGCGUGGUGUAGCGGUGAAAUGCAUAGAUAUCACGCAGAACUCCGAUUGCGAAGGCAGCAUACCGGCGCCCGACUGACGCUGAGGCACGAAAGCGUGGGGAUCGAACAGGAUUAGAUACCCGUGUAGUC